GAAGCAACCUUGUGUAGAAAAAUGAGAAGGAAAAGCAGAGGGGAGGCCUUAGAAGGAUAAGCUAGCACACAGCACUAGGAUGCAAAGAAGCCGCAUGGCAGUCUGGGGCUCUGAGGGGCCGCCAUUCUCAACUUCCUGUAAGAUUUAUUAUUUCUUGAGCAUGGAAUUCUUCAGCAUAGUAAUGAAGAUCAAGCCCAGUUCUUCGCACUUCCCACACAUCCUGGCACUGAGCAGAAUCCCCAUUCUGUAUGUAGGUUUAAUUUUUAUACAGAUAUCUAAUUGUUCUAUGAUUAAUGUUCCAUUCAAAAUGAGGGCUUUUAUUUUUGCUAGGAUUUUUGUACAAUCAUGUGACAAUUUCUGUAUAUCCCUUUUCUGUUACAUAGUAUCUUGCUUUUCUUUCUCAUAAAAAAAUUAAUCUUUCAUUUUUGUAA
rnacentral:lncRNA from 1 species